rnacentral:rRNA from 1 species
UACGUAGGGUGCAAGCGUUGUCCGGAAUUAUUGGGCGUAAAGAGCUCGUAGGCGGUCUGUCGCGUCUGCUGUGAAAACUCAGGGCUUAACCCUGAGCUUGCAGUGGGUACGGGCAGACUAGAGUGCGGUAGGGGAGACUGGAAUUCCUGGUGUAGCGGUGAAAUGCGCAGAUAUCAGGAGGAACACCGAUGGCGAAGGCAGGUCUCUGGGCCGCAACUGACGCUGAGGAGCGAAAGCAUGGGGAGCGAACAGG